rnacentral:rRNA from 1 species
AGAGUUUGAUCCUGGCUCAGGAUGAACGCUGGCGGCGUGCCUAACACAUGCAAGUCGAGCGGAGUUGAUGAAUAGUUUACUAGGAUUCAGCUUAGCGGCGGACGGGUGAGUAACGCGUGGGUAACCUGCCCUAUGCAGGGGGAUAACACACCGAAAGGUGUGCUAAUACCGCAUAACACUAAGGAAUCGCAUGAUACCUUAGUCAAAGAUUUAUCGGCAUAGGAUGGACCCGCGUCUGAUUAGCUAGUUGGUGAGGUAACGGCUCACCAAGGCGACGAUCAGUAGCCGACCUGAGAGGGUGAUCGGCCACACUGGAACUGAGACACGGUCCAGACUCCUACGGGAGGCAGCAGUGGGGAAUAUUGCACAAUGGGGGAAACCCUGAUGCAGCAACGCCGCGUGAGCGAUGAAGGCCUUCGGGUCGUAAAGCUCUGUCCUAAGGGAAGAAUAAUGACGGUACCUUAGGAGGAAGCCCCGGCUAACUACGUGCCAGCAGCCGCGGUAAUACGUAGGGGGCAAGCGUUAUCCGGAUUCACUGGGCGUAAAGGGUGCGUAGGCGGCCGAUAAAGUCAGGGGUGAAAGGCUACGGCUCAACCGUAGUAAGCCUUUGAAACUUAUUGGCUUGAGUGCAGGAGAGGUAAGUGGAAUUCCUAGUGUAGCGGUGAAAUGCGUAGAUUUUAGGAGGAACACCAGUGGCGAAGGCGACUUACUGGACUGUAACUGACGCUGAGGCACGAAAGCGUGGGAGCGAACAGGAUAGAUACCCUGGUAGUCCCGCCGUAAACGAUGAGUGCUAGGUGUCGGAGCCGACAGGCUUCGGUGCCGCAGCUAACGCAUUAAGCACUCCGCCUGGGGAGUACGCUCGCAAGAGUGAAACUCAAAGGAAUUGACGGGGACCCGCACAAGCAGCGGAGCAUGUGGUUUAAUUCGAAGCAACGCGAAGAACCUUACCAGGACUUGACAUCCCUGUGACCGGACUUUAACAGGUCCUUUCCCUUCGGGGACACAGGAGACAGGUGGUGCAUGGUUGUCGUCAGCUCGUGUCGUGAGAUGUUGGGUUAAGUCCCGCAACGAGCGCAACCCUUGUCUUUAGUUGCCAGCAAGUAAUGUUGGGCACUCUAGAGAGACUGCCGCGGAUAACUCGGAGGAAGGUGGGGAUGACGUCAAAUCAUCAUGCCCCUUAUGUUCUGGGCUACACACGUGCUACAAUGGCUGGUACAACGGGAAGCGAAGGAGUAAUCUGGAGCAAAUCCUAAAAGCCAGUCUCAGUUCGGAUUGUGGGCUGCAACUCGCCCACAUGAAGUCGGAGUUGCUAGUAAUCGUGGAUCAGAAUGCCGCGGUGAAUGCGUUCCCGGGUCUUGUACACACCGCCCGU